GACGAACGCUGGCGGCGUGCUUAACACAUGCAAGUCGAACGGAAAGGCCCUGCUUUUGUGGGGUGCUCGAGUGGCGAACGGGUGAGUAACACGUGAGUAACCUGCCCUUGACUUUGGGAUAACUUCAGGAAACUGGGGCUAAUACCGGAUAGGAGCUCCUGCUGCAUGGUGGGGGUUGGAAAGUUUCGGCGGUUGGGGAUGGACUCGCGGCUUAUCAGCUUGUUGGUGGGGUAGUGGCUUACCAAGGCUUUGACGGGUAGCCGGCCUGAGAGGGUGACCGGCGACAUUGGGACUGAGAGACGGCACAGAGUCGUACGGGAGGCAGUAGUGGGAAAUAUUGCACAAUGGGCGGAAGCCUGAUGCAGAAACGCCGCGUGCGGGAUGACGGCCUUCGGGUUGUGAACCGCUUUCGCCUGUGACGAAGCGUGAGUGACGGUAAUGGGUAAAGAAGCACCGGCUAACUACGUG
rnacentral:rRNA from 1 species